rnacentral:rRNA from 1 species
AGCACGAGUUMCUACCUUGGCCGRAGGUCUGGGUAAUCUUGUUAAACUCUGUCGUGCUGGGGAUAGAGCAUUGCAAUUAUUGCUCUUCAACGAGGAAUGUCCUAGUAAGCGCGMGUCAUCAGCUCGCGUUGAUUACGU